UGUAUUUAAGAGUAGUAUGACAAGCAAUAGGCUGCUUAGAGGCAGCCCUAAAUCGUGUAACACUAUCUCUCUACAUUGUAACACUUUGGUUGAACACAAGUAAAGAAGAGAGAGCUACACGAAAUUGAUAAGAGCUUGUCUUUUCUUAUUGAUGUGUUAACCUUUACAAUGAGAUUACAAGGCUUUAUAUAGAAGGAGAACUAAGUUAAGAUGUCUCACAAUUCCCUUUAAUCCUAGCCCUUCUUUUCUCUCUUUAAAUCUCCACCAUUGAAUUCAAAAUAGCUUCUAGAAGGUUGUGGUCCUCUUUUGUCUUCUAGAAGGUUGUGGUCCAACUUUGACCAAGACCAAGUUUGAAUUUGAGUCUCCUUCCUUUGUCUCCAACGGCUCUUAGGUCUUCUAGAAGGUCUCUCAUGGGCUUCUCUUAUGUGACACCAAUCUUGCACAUUAUUAUCUUCACUAGGUGACACGAGUUUUGCACAUUCUUGUAUUCUUGCAUAGACUUCAUUUUGCAUCCUCGGUCUUGAUACUUUUGACACCAAUUAUGCACAUUAGGUCAUGAUAACUUUGACACUAAUUUUGCACAUUGGGUCUUGAUAACUUUGACACCAAUUUUGCACAUUGGUGUCUCGUCUUCGGCCUUGUCUUGAGAUCUUCGGCCUUGACUCGUCUUAUGUGUUUACACCAAUUUUGCACUUCGGUGUCUUGGUGACUUUACACCAAUUUUGCACUUCCGGCCUUCAUACCUUGAAGUGACCCGAGCUUUGCACGGCUAUCUUAUGGAGAUCUUUCUCUUCACUUGGUUCAAUA
rnacentral:lncRNA from 1 species